GACGAACGCUGGCGGCGUGCUUAACACAUGCAAGUCGAACGGAAAGGCCUCUUUCGGGGGGUACUCGAGUGGCGAACGGGUGACUAACACGUGAGUAACCUGCCCUUGACUUUGGGAUAACUUCAGGAAACUGGGGCUAAUACCGGAUAGGAGCUCCUGCUGCAUGGUGGGGGUUGGAAAGUUUCGGCGGUUGGGGAUGGACUCGCGGCUUAUCAGCUUGUUGGUGGGGUAGUGGCUUACCAAGGCUUUGACGGGUAGCCGGCCUGAGAGGGUGACCGGCCAAAUUGGGACUGAGAUACGGCCCAGACUCCUACGGGAGGCAGCAGUGGGGAAUAUUGCACAAUGGGUGGAAGCCUGAUGCAGCAACGCCGUGUGCGGGAUGACGGCCUUCGGGUUGUAAACCGCUUUCGCUCAUGACGAAGCUUUGUGUGACGGUAGUGGGUAAAGAAGCACCGGCUAACUACGUG
rnacentral:rRNA from 1 species